rnacentral:rRNA from 1 species
GACGAACGCUGGCGGCAGGCCUAACACAUGCAAGUCGAACGAGUGGCGGACGGGUGAGUAAUGUCAGGGAAACUGCCUGAUGGAGGGGGAUAACUACUGGAAACGGUAGCUAAUACCGCAUACCAUCGGAUGUGCCCAGAUGGGAUUAGCUAGUAGGUGGGGUAAAGGCACACCUAGGCGACGAUCCCUAGCUGGUCUGAGAGGAUGACCAGCCACACUGGAACUGAGACACGGUCCAGAUUCCUACGGGCGGCAGCAGUGUGUAAUAUUGCACAAUGGGCGCAAGCCUGAUGCAGCCAUGCCGCGUGUAUGAAGACGGCCUUCGGGUUGUAAAGUACUUUCAGCGGGGAGGCGUUACCCGCAGCAGAAGCACCGGCUAACUCCGUGCCAGCAGCCGCGGUAAUUC